AGAGAAUAGAUACCCAGGUAGUCCACGCCGUAAACUAUGGAUGCUAGCUGUUAACAGUAUCGACCCUGUUAGUAGCGAAAGCUAACGCGUUAAGCAUCCCGCCUGUGGAGUACGGUCGCAAGACUAAAACAUAAAGGAAUUGACGGGGACCCGGCACAAGCGGUGGAGCGUGUUCUUUAAUUCGAAGGUAAGCGAAGAACCUUACCAGGGUUUGACAUCCUUGGAAUCUUUCCGAAACGGAAAGAGUGCAAUUUGAGCCAAGUGACAGGUGUUGCAUGGCCGUCGUCAGCUCGUGUCGUGAGAUGUUUGGUUAAGUCCAUCAACGAGCGCAACCCUUAUAUUCAGUUGGAUUUUUCUGAAUAGACUGCCCC
rnacentral:rRNA from 1 species